UGCCAACUAUCAAUCCGCCAGUGAUUCUAUAAUAUCGGCGGGGGGAUCGACGGAAACGAUAGUUUGUCGGUUCCGGGGGAAGUAUGGUUGCAAAGCUGAAACUUAAAGGAAUUGACGGAAGGGCACCACCAAGAGUGGAGCUUGCGGCUUAAUUUGACUCAACACGGGAAACCUCACCCGGCCAGUACAUCAUGAGGAUUGACAGAUUGAAAGCUCUUUCAUGAUUUGAUAAAUGGUGGUGCAUGGCCGUUCUUAGUUCGUGGCGUGAGUCGUCUGCUUAAUUGCGAUAACGAGCGAGACUCCGUCUGCUAAAUACUUGCCGGAUUGUUUUGUUCGUGUAAGUGCUUAGUUGGAUUCGAGGCUGCAAGUCUUAAGAAAUGGAGCAAUAACAGGUCUGUGAUGCCCUUAGAUGUUCGGGGCCGCACGCGUGCUACAAUGAUGGUAACAGCGUGAUUGUCCUUGCCCGAGAGGGCUUGGCAAACAGUUGAGAUAUUAUUAUGGCUGGAAUUGAGUGUUGCAAUUUUCUCUCAUGAACGAGGAAUUCCAAGUAAAUGCGAGUCAUCAACUUGCAUUGAUUACGUCCCUGCCCUUUGUACACACCGCCCGUCGCUACCCAGGACUGAGUCGUUUCGAGAAAUUCACGGACCAGUUGUUGUGGCCCUGGCCAUCACGACCGGAAAGUAACUUAAUCGCGACGGUUUGAACCGGGU
rnacentral:rRNA from 1 species